rnacentral:tRNA from 1 species
UAGUUCAGUUGGUAGAGUGCUUGCCUUGCAUGCAUAAGGCCCUGGGUUCAAUCCCCAG